CCUACGGGAGGCAGCAGUGGGGAAUAUUGCACAAUGGGGGAAACCCUGAUGCAGCGACGCCGCGUGAGUGAAGAAGUAUUUCGGUACGUAAAGCUCUAUCAGCAGGGAAGAAAAUGACGGUACCUGACUAAGAAGCCCCGGCUAACUACGUGCCAGCAGCCGCGGUAAUACGUAGGGGGCAAGCGUUAUCCGGAUUUACUGGGUGUAAAGGGAGCGUAGACGGCAGCGCAAGUCUGGAGUGAAAUCCCAUGGCUUAACCAUGGAACUGCUUUGGAAACUGUGCAGCUAGAGUGCAGGAGAGGUAAGCGGAAUUCCUAGUGUAGCGGUGAAAUGCGUAGAUAUUAGGAGGAACACCAGUGGCGAAGGCGGCUUACUGGACUGUAACUGACGUUGAGGCUCGAAAGCGUGGGGACCAAACAGGAUUAGAUACCCCAGUAGUC
rnacentral:rRNA from 1 species